GAUGAAGAACGUAGCGAAAUGCGAUAAGUAAUGUGAAUUGCAGAAUUCAGUGAAUCAUCGAAUCUUUGAACGCACAUUGCGCCCCCUGGUAUUCCGGGGGGCAUGCCUGUUCGAGCGUCAUUUCACCACUCAAGCCUCGCUUGGUAUUGGGCAACGCGGUCCGCCGCGUGCCUCAAAUCGACCGGCUGGGUCUUCUGUCCCCUAAGCGUUGUGGAAACUAUUCGCUAAAGGGUGUUCGGGAGGCUACGCCGUAAAACAACCCCAUUUCUAAGGUUGACCUCGGAUCAGGUAGGGAUCCCCGCUGAACUUAAGCAUAUCAAUAAGCGGAGGA
rnacentral:misc_RNA from 1 species